UGUCCAAUGCGGGAAUCGAACCCGGGUCCUAGUGGUCGAAAACCAAACGGUUUAACCAGCCUUCUACCGACCCUCUGCUAAAUAGUAA